rnacentral:lncRNA from 1 species
AGCUACCAUUUUCACAUAAUUCGUCAAAAGAGAGGAUAAUCAGGAGAACUAGAUUAAAUUGCAGUACCAUGCAGAAAGUUCAAGGCUCCUUUAAAUACAGUAAGUAUUAUAUAUGUCAGCAUCAAUUUCUUUCCUUUAAUUGCUUGGUCCCAUCAUUAAUAAUGCUAAUAUACUCUUAUAAGCUCUCUUGUGAUAUAUAAAAGAGUAUUGUGGAUAGCUUCUAACGUUGUGAAUGUAAAAUUUAAUAGGAGUUCAUGUCUAUGUUGGUUUAUCACUUGAAUCAUCGGAAAAAUUUGAAUUGAUUAUGAAUUAAGGUUUGUACUCUAAAAGGAAGGGUUUUGAAUUGUUGAGGUUGGAGAAAUCAGAGGGAAAAAAAAAAGUGGUUGGACUGAUGGGUUGUACGGCGGAAUUCGCCGAGAGAUGUGGAAGAAAAGGAACUGAGAGAGAGAGAUAUUACAGCGGGGAAAGGUGGCCGUCGGAGCCGAGCUCCGGCCGACGAGGAUGAUGGCAGUGUAGGUGGGAAGAUGAGGGAGGUGGGUAGAGGGUGAAAAAUAAUUUCAUGACCCGGGAAUUAAUUAAAUUAAUUAAAAAGGAGGUGAAUUGGUUAAUAAAACAGGGAAUAAAUAGAAAUUAGUAAAAUAAUGAAUUUGGUGGAGUACUUGUAAGUGGGAUUUAAAUAAAAUAAAGAGGUUUUGGAAAUUGCUUAAUAUAAGAGGAGUAAUUAAUUAGUUAAGAGAAGUGAUUAUUGAUUUACGAAUCAUUUAGAAAGGUGGGAUUUUGUAGAAAUUUGAAUGAGGUGAGUUAAAAAAUAUUCAUUCAUUCAUAAUUUAAUACAUUAUGGAGUAAGAAAGCUUAUAAUAUUUUAUUUAAUGCAGAGCGGGUAACAAAAGAAAAGAAUAGUUUGAUUAAAGCUUAUAAUAUUAUAAAAAGGAACUAUUCAUCAUAAAGUAGAUCAUUUAAGAUCAUUCUUUUAUAAGAGCAUCUCCAACCAUCUAAAACACUUGGCUAAAAGAUGAGUUGACAUACUUAAAAUAAAAAGAUUUAACCAACAGCUUCAAAAACUCAACUCCAACCAUGAUCAGCUGUUGUCUAUAAAUUUAGCCAACCUCCUAUGGAUGGCUAAAUUUGUCGAACCUCUACAGGUCUGUAAGAAAAUCUGUAGGAAGAUUGUACAUCAUUUAUUACCAUAUUGAACUGAUAUAUUCUAUUUUAACAAUUUAAAAUAUUAAUAACAUACUAUUUUUAAAUUAUAGUCAACCAAUAUAGCCAGUACCAUUGAAGCAAAAUGUCUUACAGGUUCAGCAAAUUUUACAUAAUGUCUUACAGGUUCAAUUUAGCCAACAAUUAUAGCCAAUGCCGUUGGAGAUGCUCUAAGGAUAUUGAUUACAAUGUUGUGUGAUAUAGAGUAUUUAUUAUCUGGAAAGGACGAAGUUUCACUGUGCGAGCUAAGCUAAGAAAUAUUUUAUAGCAAAGGAGACCAGGCAAGUUCACUAUCCCUGUCUUGAUGUAAAGUUUUUCGUGCCUAUUUGAUAAUUUUGUGAAAAGUAUUAAUUGUGAAGAUAUUAUAUUUUGUACCAUUGUGAAUCGAGAAAAUAUCUUUGUUUCAUUUUGAAGGCUUUCAAAAUAUUGUUCACAUACUACUUUCUAUAAUUCGAGCCCUCCCAUUAUUCGGGAAUGAGCUGAUCCUAUAACGAUAAUAUUUUGAAUUUUCGAAACUUGAUGUGAAUACAUUGCAGCGAUGGUCUCAAUUUACUUCUUUUGGAGAUCAUCUUAUCCUUUGGAAUCUAAUUCUUCUAAAUUAUUUUUAACUUCUACCUUCGGGUAAUCUUUGUUAUGAUGAAAGGGUGCAUUGUUCGCACUUCUUUGAUAGAGUUGAGGGUGAUAAUUGAGAAGUGUUUGUUUGAGAAAAUUUCCUUGUAUUCGGAGGAAUCUGUUCAAGCUGGUCAACACGAAUUUAUUAAAUUGGUGGGAGAGUUGAAAUGUACUAUCUGGUAAGGCAGAUAGUAGGGUUCCAGUGUUAAACCCUGAUGCUAGCAAAGAGAGUGUUGGUGUGUCUUCAGUGGUUACGAUCAGACCACUAGGACUACACAGGAGAACAGUAUUCACGAAAUGGUGCUGAUCGAGCCAUGUAGUGUUACCGAAAGGUGGAAGACCAGCAUUUUCAGUACUUGAAAUUGUGUUGUCAUUUGAUGGUAACUGUUUUGUUACUUUGACUUGAAUUGUCUUCUAUGCUUUAUUCGCAUAUCCUGUUAAUGAUUGUUUUGUGCUAUGUGGACUUGCUGAGCAAUUAGUUGCUCAUUUUUGCAUCUACUUUAUUUCUUUUGAGCAGUAAAGAGUUAGUAUGGCACAAAUCAAGAGAAUCGCCCGUAAACGGAUUUUGGCAAAGUAAAGGAGAAGGCACAUCACAUGAGCUGAAGCUGCUAGGCAACGUCGUUUGGUUAUACCAUCUACAGUUAUUAUAAUAGUCUGUAAUCAGAUUUGUUAUUAUGUAAUAAAGUUAGACCUGGUAGAAAUGUUGUAAGACGAUCGACCCUGGACUUGUGGGGCAAUAAUUGUGCUUGUAUAAUAUUAAUAUAAUGCAAGUGUUGUUUUGAGCCAGAUGUUUAGUGACGGACCAGAUCUGCGAGAUGCGGAUCUGGGGGCGUCACACAAUAUAUAAUACUUUCAAAAUUUCGACUAACGAUAGAG